rnacentral:rRNA from 1 species
UACGAAGGGGGCUAGCGUUGCUCGGAGUCACUGGGCGUAAAGGGCGCGUAGGCGGAUCUUUAAGUCGGGGGUGAAAGCCCAGGGCUCAACCCUGGAAUUGCCUUCGAUACUGAAGAUCUCGAGACCGGAAGAGGUAAGUGGAACUGCGAGUGUAGAGGUGAAAUUCGUAGAUAUUCGCAAGAACACCAGUGGCGAAGGCGGCUUACUGGUCCGGUUCUGACGCUGAGGCGCGAAAGCGUGGGGAGCAAACAGG